AGCAGCCGCGGUAAUUCCAGCUCCAAUAGCGUAUAUUAAAGUUGUUGCAGUUAAAAGCUCGUAGUUGAAUUUCGAGAUCAAAUUGUUGGUCGUGCCUCGGUACGUACUGGCAUUAUUGAUUUCUCCCUUCUGACGAUCCGCGAUGUCAUUAAUUUGGUGUCGCGGGGAAUCAGGACUGUUACUUGAAAAAUUAGAGUGUUUAAAGCAGGCUCACGCUUGAAUACAUUAGCAUGGAAUAAUGAAAUAGGACGUUUGAUUCUAUUUUGUUGGUUUCUAGGAUCGACGUAAUGAUUAAUAGGGAUAGUUGGGGCAUUAGUAUUCAAUUGUCAGAGGUGAAAUUCUUGGAUUUAUUGAAGACUAACUACUGCGAAAUGCAUUUGCCAAGGAUGUUUUCAUUAAUCAAGAACGAAAGUUAGGGGAUCGAAGACGAUCAGAUACCGUCGUAGUCUUAACCAUAAACUAUGCCGACUAGGGGAUCGGAUGAUGUUAAUUUUUUUCAAUGACUCAUUCGGCGCCUUAC
rnacentral:rRNA from 1 species